CGGCGCUGCGGCUUCCCCGACAAAAUGGCCGAUGGAGACUAUUUAGCCGAGCCCGCCGCCCCGCCCACGUGCUUGCCCGCGCCAGGAAUUCUGGGACUUGUAGUUUCCCAGAGGCAGCAUGGCUGGGAAAACCUGGGGCCGGUGGGUUUCCGGAACCGCAAUUCCCAGCAGGGAGUUCGCGCCCAGCGCUGGCCCGCAGGACCAGGACGGUCCGGGUGGGUGCAGCGCUACCCGCGAGAGCCCGCAGGUCGGGACCGUCCACUCCGCGCGCUCGCAGGCUCUCCUCACCCUAGAGCGGCGGCACCUAGGGGUCAGAGCUGGGGGUAAUCCCCAUCGGUCACCCUGGAGGCCGGGACUGGUUUGACAUAACCACAGCCUAAAGCCAGACCGCCAUGGCCAUCCAGGUGAACCAACUUCGUUUUAAGCACCUGCUCUGUUCCGGGCUCUGUGUGGGACACAUGGAACUCUGUCUUCAGGGAGGUUUCAGGACUUGAUCCCAACAAACUGGAUCCAUCUGGAUAACUUCUUUGAGGUUGCCAGUGUUUGAAGUGGACAUUAAAGUCUUCCAGUCCUUAGAAAGCUCUUUAAAAUGCAACUCUACUUACCUGCAUUUUAUCAUCAUUAUAACUCGGUUGCAGAGACAGAAGGCUCAGGCAACCAACUGUUCUGUCAAAUGCAAAUUUUGUAUGGGAAAUACUUCUGGGAGAAAACAGAGCGGCCGUCAUGCGAGAAGUUAUUUUUAAAGGACUAGACCAAAUGGCUCCUGUACUUGAAAGUUUUAUCAAAAAUUUCAAUGAAUAGAGGAAACUUUGUGGAAGAUAACACAAGCACACAUUGAAAUAGAUAGAUGCCCUCCUCCAAAUGUAACCAAAGUUUCAUAUGUAAAUUAUGAAACAUCAAAAAUAACUAGCUCAAUGUUUAUUUGUGUGCAUCCUUGAUGUUGACAUGUGGGUUUACUUUUGAUACUCAUCUUCAUUUCAUCUCUAACACAAGGACUAAACUAAGGCGGUAAAACUAACUUUUCAGGUAGUAUUGCUGCAUAACAAACCACCCCAAAUUUCGAUGGUUUCAUAAAGCAGUGAUUUAUUCUCACUCAUGUGUACAGGUUGGCUGAGGUGGCUCUGCCAUCUCAGCUGGGCUCCCUGAGCUUGGCUGUAAGGCUGCAUCUUGAACCUGGGUCUGUUCCUUGGACCCGUGGGCUCCCUACGGCAUGUUCUCAUGGUGAAGGGCAACAUGUAAGUGGACAAACACAACUCCAUCAACGUAUGUCAAGCCCCUUAUGUCCCUCUUCUUCUAACAUCUCAUUAGCUAAAGCAACUCACACGGCCAAGUCCAAACCAAGGGUUGGAGAAUACUAUGGUCUGAAGGUUUGUGUCCCUCCGUAAUUCAUAUGUUGAAACCUAAUCCCUAAGGUGAUGAUAUUGGGAGGUGAGGCCUUUGGGAGGUGCUAGGUCACGAGGGCUCCUCCCUCAUGUUUGGGGUAAGUGUCCUAUUAAAAGAGGCCCUAGAGGGAUCUCUUGAGCUCUUCCACCGUGCGAGGAAACGGGGUAGGUCGGCAGUCUGUGACAGGUUUUACCGGAUUCCAACUAGCACCCUAAUCUUGGACUUAAGAACUGGGAGAAAUAAAUUUCUGUUGUUCAUAAACUUCCCAGUCUCUGGUAUUUUGUUACAGCAGCCUGAACAGACUAAGACAAAGAAGUAUGCUCUGCCAACCAUAAAGGCAAGUGGCAUGGUCAAGCCCAACUUUAGUGGGGCGGGGUAGUGCACUCUUCCCAGAAUUAGCGGGUUAGAGGGAGUGAAUAUUGGAAGAACAAUAAUCUUGUCUACUCACAAUAGAAAAAUUGAGGCACAGCAAUUUGCAUCAUAAGUCCUGGUGCUGAUACUUAAGUGAUUUUCUUAUCCUAAGAGAAAAGGAGGACACAAGCGUCGAGUAUCGAUAGUUACCAAACAUUCUGCUGGGGGGUUUCUCAUGUGCUAUUUCAUUCAACCUUUCACACCAGCAUGAGGAAGGGAUCUGUGACCCCACUGAACACAUGAGGUGAUUGGCCGCAGAGCUG